rnacentral:snRNA from 1 species
GUGCUCACUUUGGCAGCACAUAUACUAAAAUUGGAACAAUACGGAGAAGAUUAGUGUGGCCCUUGCACAAGGAUAACAUGCAAAUCCGUGAAGCAGUCCAUAUUUAA